AUGUAUCCAUUUCACCCAUAGAGCAUCUUUCUUAUUGGCCAGAUCACACCCAAGUUUGUUGAUUGCAGCUUUGUUCCAUAAUAGCAGAUUCAUAACAUUUAAACCCCCAGCAGAUUUAGGCAGGCAGACUUUAUCCCAGGCUAUAUAUGAUUUUUUUGAUAUGUUGGCUGAUCCUGUCCAAACAUAGGAUCUACAUACAGCAUCCAGCAUCUUUAAUAUUUUGGAAGGAAUAAGGAAAAGCUGAGCCCAGUAUGCUUGUAUACCAAAAAUGACAGAUUGUACCAGCUAAACUCUCCCUGCAUAGGAAUGUCCAAACAUAGGAUCUACAUACAUCAUCCAGCAUCUUUUAUAUUUUUGAAGGAAUAAGGAAAAGCUGAGCCUAGUAUGCUUGUAUACCAAAAAUGAUAGAUUGUACCAGCUGAACUCUCCCUGCAUAGGAUAGUUUCCUAGCAGUCCAGGAUGUGAUCCUGGCAGUAACCUUAUCCACCAAUAGUUGCCAUUGUAGUAAUGACAUCUUCUUGGCUGAUAAGGGAACUCCCAAAUACUUGAAGGGUAAUUCUCCAUAUACAUAACCAAGAUGAUUGAUAAUGUGUUG
rnacentral:lncRNA from 1 species